GCAAGCAUAUUUGUAUAGAUGUUCAAUAUAUCAUACCAUCACAGUACUGUAUCUUAAUUAAAUACUGCUUAAGAGAAAAAUAUAACUUCAUCAAAGUCAAAUAUCUAGCACGACAGAGAAGGCUGAUAACCGUUAAAUAAAACGUUUAAAUUAAAAUAUUUUAAUAAUAUUAAAAUACACUAAUUAAUAUAGGCAUUAAUAUAACAACAGAAUAUCAUUUUAUUACAUAACAUUGAUAAUAAUUGAAUGUAUCCAGUUCAUACAAACAAAUAAUACAUGGAGAUGCAUAAAUUUAGUACAUUCGUGAGAGCUUAAUAAAUUUUGACUACCUUACUUAUAAUAUAAAUGACUUUUAUAAACGACUCUUCAAAACGUUUAUAGGUAGCACUUGAGACACUUGACUUCGACUUAACGCAGAUAUUGUUUAUAAAGAUUCAAUCAACGACGUCACUAUUAAACCUCCAAUUUUGGCCGUACUACCAGCAUAAAUAUCAUUUGGCCAUUUCAAUCUCAGAUCUAUGUCCUAGAAAAAUGACAUAGACUAUUGCAGCAGCAACUAAAUGCUGGAUGAGUGAUAACCGCCCACCUAAUAUCGAAUUUAAUGCAAUAUGUAACUGCAAUGUGAACAUUCCACAACCUUUUGGACUCAGCCACACAUUCUUGCUCCGCCCUAUUAUACAUGAAAGUAUCAACUUAUUAAUAUACUUGACAGCUCAACUAUCAGAAAUUUGGAUCAGUUAUCUAUGAUGAGUAGAUAAAAACAAGACGGGUUGGUUUGAAAA